rnacentral:rRNA from 1 species
CGCAUCUGUGCAUGCAGCAUAUCAAUAAGCGGAGGAAAAGAAACUAACAAGGAUUCCCCUAGUAACGGCGAGUGAAGCGGGAAGAGCUCAAAUUUGAAAUCUUAAAGGGUUUCCCUUUACGAAUUGUAGUUUAAAGAAGUGUUUUCUGUUGAGGUUUUGGUAAAAGUUCUUUGGAAUAGGACAUCAUAGAGGGUGAGAAUCCCGUAUUUGACCUUUACUUUCAACUUUGUGAUACACUUUCAAAGAGUCGGAUUGUUUGGGAAUGCAGUCCAAAAUGGGUGGUAAAUUUCAUCUAAAGCUAAAUAUUGGCGAGAGACCGAUAGCGAACAAGUACCGUGAGGGAAAGAUGAAAAGAACUUUGAAAAGAGAGUUAAACAGUAACGUGAAAUUGUCAAAAGGGAAGCGUUUGACACCAGUGUUGUUUUUCUGAAAAUCAAUUAAAGAACUGUUUAUGCUAAGUUGUUUAGACUUUAUCAGCUAAUCUGCUUAGUUUUGAGCUUUUCUUUAAUGCACUUUUCAGUUAACAAGUCAACAUCAAUUUCUUUUGCUGUAAAAAAGCUUGAGGAAGGUGGCUUGAGAUUCGUCUUAAGUGUUUAUAGCCUCUUGCCUAUGCAGUCGGAGAGAUUGAGGUCUGCAGUGUAGAUCCUUCGGGGCUAAAUGCAUUUGUGCUAAGUUAUAGCAUUUUAUAGACAACUUGUUGACUAUGAUUUGUCUUGUAGCUUACUCGCUUAUGUUAUUUUACCUACGCUUAGGAUGUUGAAGAUGUAGCACAUCAU